CUUUUAUAUUCACAGACGCUGAGCGCGAAUUUUACCAAAGUCGACACGUUUUUACGGGUCAAGUGCGUGAUGAGAUGUGCCUCCACUCUGAAGACACAGAUAACGAAUCUACAAACAAAGAACAGCAAUUAAUCACAAGAGUGGAUUGUUUUUAGUAUUUCAGCAAUUGGACUCGUUUCCAUCCUUUUUGGCGUCUCCUGCAUUUGAAGUCAUUGCUUUCAUCUGAUUCAGCAGCUGUCCAUCUGCAUUUCUGUUUGCAUUACUCUGCUUACAUUUUGAACCCUUAGCGAUAAUAAAAGUGUUUUCCAUUUUGGUUAUAGUUGUACAGUCAAGUUUGUUCUUGAUCUUGAUUUAAUGUGCUUGUGUGGAGAUUUGCUGUGACAAUUAUUUUUCACAGCACUUCAUAUUUGGGAGGAGGAUGCAAAGAUAUUUAUAUGGUGGAUUCUUUUAACUAUUGCAUGAAUAUGUUCACUGUGAUUUACAUUAAUCACACAUUAAAUAGACAGUUUUUAAAAAUCA